UUUUAUCUUGGUCUGAAAGACCCCCGGAGCAGGGAGACCCUCACUCAAGUCUCGGGAUGAUGCGACCCGCCAAGAACUCACGUGAGACU
rnacentral:pre_miRNA from 14 species